rnacentral:rRNA from 1 species
UACGGAGGGUGCAAGCGUUAAUCGGAAUUACUGGGCGUAAAGCGCGCGCAGGCGGUCUGUCAAGUCGGAUGUGAAAUCCCCGGGCUCAACCUGGGAACUGCAUUCGAAACUGGCAGGCUUGAGUCUUGUAGAGGGGGGUAGAAUUCCAGGUGUAGCGGUGAAAUGCGUAGAGAUCUGGAGGAAUACCGGUGGCGAAGGCGGCCCCCUGGACAAAGACUGACGCUCAGGUGCGAAAGCGUGGGGAGCAAACAGG